AUGGGAACCCUCCAAAGUCUAGGUACAGAUCUGAUGAUAUCCUGAAAGGCAGGGAUUUGCCUGAUGGCACCAACUAAAACAGAACCCCAUGGAAAGGAUAGACCAGCUUGUGUGUUCAUUAGGAAGGAGCAGUAAGUCACACGAAAGUAGUCAUCACAGCCAGAGCAACUGCCUUCUCCCACAUGGAUUUUUCUUGUUGCCAAGAGAAGUCUCCAGCCUCAAGGGCAGCCCUGUUUGAAAGAUGCCCAGUGGAGUUUUGUGAAGGUUUGGGAAGAGUAAGGGAGUGUACCGGCAACACGAAUGGACACGUAGAAAGUGAAGAGCCUCUGGCAGAAUGUCUGGAGUCCAGCUCACUCCCUGGCUUCGUAAUAGCCUUUCUUAACCCCAGAUAAACUUUAGGAUCAGCUGACAGCAUUUUAAAAGUACUGGUGCCUGGGCAGACCCUCAAAGCAAUGGAAAUAGGAUCAAAUCAAUUUCUCUCCCCACCUAAAAGUUUAGUGGAGUGAAUAAGGGUAUAAAACAUUUGUAAAAACUUAAGUGCAGAAACACAAAGUUAAUACUGAGGCUGAGUGACUUUGGUUCCUCUGGCCUGACUCUGACUCUUGACAGGUGGGGUGAGCAUUGCCAAAGCCAAGGGGGUCACCGCCAAAGAGGACAGUAGAUGAAGGAGAACCCAGGAGAGGGAGGGCCACCUCCGCUGCUGGGGCCCCAGUGCUCUGAACUGUGCACAGGCAGGCUAGGACCUGGUGGCCUAGCUGCUUCAGGAACUUUGGAAAUGCCGGGCUGAUGCCCGGGCUAGAGAACCCACCAUGCCUGUCUAAGGCCCAAGCGUCUACGUUUGAUGCUUUAAUAAUUACACCACUGAGGAAAAAAGAUUCUUCCCUCUCUCUGCCGUGACCCUUCCAGGUUACCUCAGAAUUUGGUCCCUCCUCAACCUACUUCCCCUGCUCACAGGAGAAAUGAGGGUAGAUCUUUUUUCUGCCAUAUAAGGGGCCUGUAUUAGACUUGGAGAUAGGCCUGACUUGACUCACAGCCCUAUCCAGUGGGGUUGCACAGUCUGUACAACUGAAGGCGAUGACCCUGAGGAGGCCGUGACUAGACAAACAUGCCACAGACACAAACGUGCAAAUGACUGAACACAUGCUUGCUCUCAUACACACACACGCAUGGCAAAGAAAGGAAAAUAGCAACAACAAAACCAGGAGAAGACUCAUUUUAACCUAGACAGUGUUUCAAGGGUUCCAUGUAAACUGUGAUUUUAGUGGCUUCUUCCUCAGCCCCAGAAAUUACGCUUCCUUUGAAGAGCCGACAUAGCACGCUAAAUGAUACCUUCAGUACUGGAAUUCCAUGUUCUGUUUCUCUCUAGGGUGGUAACAGAGACGGGAUACACAUCCUAGGGUCUAAUUCUCAAGUUACAUAAUUAGUAACUGCAUAACCAAUUAAAAAAAAAAUCCUGCUACAAGAUAGCAUCUCCUAGGAGGCAAAGCUGUUCCACAGGUUUAGUUUUUUUUUUUUUUUUUUUUUUUUUAAGUUCUAAGGCUGCUUUUAGCCCUAAGUCGUCAUUACCUGUUUCUUCAUCAUUACUGCUAUUAUUAUUACUAUUUGACCUCUGUUAAGAGAAUGCUCGUCUAGAAAGUUGAGUGUUGGAGGGAAGGGGGGAGAAGGAAUAGGAAAUUAUCUCAAAUCUGCAGCUCUCUGGCCUCUCCUGAGAAGCUUCUCUGGGUGCGGGAGGGGGCGGUCUUCUCUACUUCUCAUGCUGGUGAUUUCUAUCUCGGUGAUGGGGUUUCUCUAAUUUUUAUGAGACCCCGGUGCCUAUCAUGCUUCAUUCGUUGGCAAAUAACUGUGUGGAGGGCGGGACAACCAAAGGAAAGAGGAAAUCAAAUUACAUUAAUUAGGAGGCACGAAGUCUCUAACAGGAUAAAUAAAUCUCUUCUUUUUUGGUUCUUCAGUGAUGUAAUUAUUUCUUAUCCACAGACUCAAUCUACCUUCUCCCAGAAUAUGUGCUCAUACAGUUCACUUAUUAGGGCCGGACCUUAGGUCUCUAUCUAAAAGGUUGGUUUCCGCUCACUGACCCCUCAGGAGACCCACAGAGGUCUGCUUACAGGUGGGUCCCAGUUAGGGACUGACUUGGACACCGCCUGGAGUCCACGCCUUUUUAAAACUGCAUUUUCCCUCAACAAAGAGUUGUGCCUGUUGGUGAAAGGCAUCUCAGCAGAGCUAACAGUUGAGGUUGAUCGCUUGCUUUCUUUGGGGCAUUUUAUCUGCAAAGUACCAAGGAGCUCCUGUCACCGCCCCACUCCUCCACCCUCGCCUCUCACGUGCUCUUUGCUGCGCGCGCACACACACCAGCUUCAAGCUUGUCCUCUGCGGGGAUGUCCUUUUUCUUUGCACACAGAGAAGAUGAGAAUAGUGUCACAUCAACUGACACGUCUCUCAAACUUUGAGGAGCAGUGUUGGCAACUGCAACCACAACAAAGAGUCCACAUGGAGGGCCCACAGUUCUGCCCCAACACCAGAAUGCAGGCCAAUUCAAAUAUUUCGGAAACACCUCUCAGAGCCAAACGCUCAGCUCGGUGCACUUCAGGGGCAAACACUCCAGCCCUCCUCUUGGGAAGAUGUUUUAAACGGCCUUCCGCAUUAGUGUUUGGGUUAGGUUUAUGUCGAGAAGAUCAACACUUCACAGAUUUCUAGUUACCUCUAGAUCUAGUCUCUGAGAUUUGCGGUUGUGCCAAGUCUAAGCCACAGCUGUGUUAGUGGUUGCAGUCCAGUGCUAACAGUAAUUAGCAUUUAAUAGAACCAAACAGUAUACAAGUUGCUUUUGCACCCACUGUAUCGGAUACAGUGCGAGCGAGGCACAGACAAAUGUAAAAUUACAUAAUUUUUUAGAGAGUAAAAUGGUCCAUCAAUGCUGAGGGAAAAAGACAACUAGGACUCUCCCUGGGUGUUAUAGAGCCACACUUUCCAGAAGAAAUUUCCAAACAUCCAUGCUUAUGACAACAUUCCUUCCGGAUUUUCCAAAACAGUUCUAAUUUCUAUCAAUUUGCCCUCUCGUUGACAUAAAUAUCCUUGUACUUGUCAUACUGGGUACUGUGUAUUUUUGGUUUAUAGUCAGCAUAAUGAAAGCUCACUGCAAUUUUUGGUGCAUAUCCAGGCCACUUAACCAUAGGUCAUUCUCUCAUUUGGAGGCUACAAGCACGCACGCGCACGUAUGCAUACGCACAUAUAUACACAUGUAUAUAUUUAAAGACACCAAAUCAGGGUUACCAAAGUUGUGGUAUGAUUUAGAUAUUGGCAUUUGACAAUUAUAAUACCUGUAACCACCCCCAUACCAUGUAAUAUAAUUGUUCUGUUCACAAGAAAUUAUAAUUGCGUGGCUGAGCAUGUGAGCACACACACACCCUGUGUCUGGUGUGGGUUUCAGUCUUAUCCUUGGAUCCCCUUAUCUCUGACCCGAAGCCUAUCUGGCGGUCAUGUUAAAUAUCUAAAUGAAAGGUGGUUUUUGUGACUUUGAUCCUGCAGGGUAGAAAAAAGUAAUUUACCCUCUAGUUUUCUAAGUUCUUGGCUGGGGCCCCUGGAACAGAAGAUGGAUUACCAAGAGAGAGACGAAUAGAAGUUUAUUAACAUGUAUACCUCACAUACAGGGAGGACAGCCAGGGAGACACCAGGAAAAUGUGUAAUUCAGGCAGGUGGCUUAGAAUUUAGGCUGAAAUACGACCUUCAGCUCAAAGAAAAGGCAGAGUGAGGAGGGGGAAAGUCAAGUGUGCGAGGGUGACCAGGAACUUAAACCUUGUAAACAGAAUAAACUUCAUUAUGCAGAUUUCAGGCUGUGCCUUCUUUGUCGAUGACUUCUUCUGACUUAGAGCCCUGCUUCUCUUCCUAGUCCAGAAAGGGAGACCUUCCCCCCACCCCCUUACAAGCAGAGAUUUCCUUCACAAGUAUAAAUUUCCCUUCCAUAAAGGGCAACUUUUAUUCUCUUUCCAGAGCUUCUCUUAUGUCUGCUGUUUCUCAAAACAAUCCUUCUGCCUAGAGGCAUAUUUGGGGGUGCUGUAUGCUGGUGUCCUCCAGUAAUAGGAAAUGCCCUUCUGGCCUCCAAGUGAGAGGUUUUGGGGUGAACACUCAUAAAGCGGCCCUGAAAACGAGCACAGGCCCCAAUAAACAUGGUCAUGAGCCUGAUGGGAGAACACCAGUCCCCAGAAUCCAGGCGGGAGCUCUAUCCUCCUCAGUCUGGGAAGAUCUGGGUAAAACCCUGUGGCCUGGAAACAAUUUCACAGGUGGAUACACUUUUGAAACCAACUGCAGAGUUGUUAGAGCUCCAACUCGGCCCUCUUUGCUCCAGUGCUUUCAGGGGAGCAACGUGGAAAGCUCAGACAGGAUCAGCUUUCCUAGGCUAUCUAUCUAGCUUCCCACCUGCCGCUGUGGACACCCUGGUGUAAACGGGGGGCAGCUGCCCUGCAGGUGGGAGAGGAUGCUCUCCCUCACCACCAAAUCCCCCCCACCCCCCAGGAGAAAACUUGUUAAAAGCAAAAAGAAAUCUUCCCAUGGAGCCAUUAUUCGCUAUCUCAGCUCGGAACAGGACGCCAGUGCUGAGAUUAGGGGACGUUGUUUUAAAACACAGAAAUGGAAAGUUUUACCUGCGUGUUUGUACCAGCAUCCGAAAUCUCUGUCCUCACCGGCUCUAUUCUGGAGGCAUCGGCAUUAACAAAAGUUGUGGUCUAACGCUUCCUACUAAAUUAAGGGAAAAAUACAAGAUGGCAACAGAUCAGAAGUAAGAUAGAGGCAUCAUCCCUGUUUGUUCCUCCUCUCGCAUCAAUCCCUCCUCAUGAGUAGGGAUCAGGGCUGGUUUCAUGGAAUAUCCUCUCUAGAUUUUGACCUCAGCCCCUCCCCCCAUGACUCUGUCCUUCUAAGAGCCAUCCAGGAUCUGGGGCUCUUCAUUAGGUGAAAACUUAGGUCAACUGUAUGUCUGACCCUUAACUCCCCAUUUAUUCCAGAGAUUAAAGAAUGGAAGGGGUGGGAGGCAAGGGUUACUCGGGUUUAAAUAUUGUCUCAGAUCCUUUGCCCCAGGUAGCAUUGAAAAGCCUAAAACUCAACUGCUGUACAGGCCAUGCAGCCUGUGUCUGUGGGCUUUCAGUCUUGGGCCUGCUGAGGGGCAAAUAAAAUUGCCAAGGGGUUAACAAUUACAACGGCAUUUAUUCAGCAUGCAUUACAUGCUGGACAUAGAACUGAAUGCUUCUACUACAUGAAAUUAUUUAAUUCCCUCAACUCCUGGGAGUUUUAUAUUUCUCCCCUUUCUUCAAGAGAAGAAACUAAAGCUUAGAAAGGGCUAGUCUCUUAUCCAAGGUCAUACAGUGAGGGUUGGUGAACACGGGGUCAGAACCAUCCCUAACUUCAAGCAAGGUGACAGGGAAAAACGCACUUCAGAAAUUCUCAGAGUAUUUACCAAGCAUCCCAGUCAUUUGAAACUUCACAGAAUCGAAAUUGUUGCAUCAAUCCUCAUUUCAGGUUUUAUAAUCCAGCUAAGACUGCAAAUUCCUUGAGGUCAAAACUGCGUUUUCAACUUCUCUAUGUUUUUCAAAGUGCCUAACAUAGGAAUUAGCACAAAAACCAGGCAAUUUAAAAAUAUGUAUUAGCAAAUCUAAACAUGGCGAGGUAAAUUACUAAUUAUCAAGUG
rnacentral:lncRNA from 1 species